rnacentral:rRNA from 1 species
AUGGUGUGGCUGUGUAGACUGACUAUUCUUUUUUCUGAACUUUUUUGUGAUUAUGUCUUCACAUUGCACUGCUCGAUCCAUAUCGACAUGCCCACGCUGUCUGGUGAGGAUAAAGAUGGUGCCCCAACCAAGAUUGACUUCCUCUCUCUUUCUUAUACAAGGCAUGCAGAAGAUGUGUGGCAAGCAUGGGAGUUCCUCUCAAAGUUAGGUGAUCUUAGCCAAACUCUGAUUUUUGCCAAAAUUGAGAAUGUGGAGGGCUUGAACCAUUUUGAUGAGAUCCUGGAAGAAGCAGAUGGUAUAAUUCUGUCAAGAGGAAACCUUGGAAUUGAUCUUCCACCUGAAAAGGUGUUCUUAUUUCAGAAGUCUGCUCUGCACAAGUGCAACAUGGCUGGAAAGCCUGCUGUUGUUACUCAUGUUGUGGACAGUAUGACGGACAACCUAAGGCCUGCUCGUGCGGAGGCAACUGAUGUGGCAAACGCGGUGCUGGACGAAUCCAAUGAAAGUUCUGAUUCCGAAAGCUCUGACUCUGAGAAAAACCAGGAAUUGGACGGCUCUGACAGUGAUUCUGAUGAUUCAUCAGAUGAGGAUAUGGCCACUAAAAAAUCAGUAGCCAAGAAAGUGGUAGAAUCCAGUGAAAGUUCUGAUUCUGACUCCGAGGAGGAUACCACUGCUAAACCAGUUAAGAAGAAUAAAGAAUCUAGUGAUAGCUCAGAUCCUGACUCAGAUUCAGAUUCUGAAGAAGCAAGUUCUCUGUUGUACUUGUUUACUCUUGGUAACUUCUCUUGUGUGAUAUUUGAUACCACUGCUAAAACAGUUUCUGUAAAGAAAGAAGAAUCUAGUGGUAGCUCAGAUAAUGACUCGGAUUCCGAUUCUGAUGAACCAGCAAAAUCUACUAUUCCUGCUAAGAGGCUUCUGACAACAGAGAAAAAGAGUGAACAUUCCAAGGAUGAUUCUGAUGAUAGUUCUGAUGAGAGUGAUGAAGAGCCUGCACUAAAGAAGCCUAAGGAAUUUUUGUUGUACGAGUUGUACGAGGUGGAGAGGUCUGCACACAAAAUUGACCAAUACUUGUGGUGUGAAGGGGACAAACAUUACCUCUUCCCAAAUUGUAUAAAGCCUGCUGAUUCAGAACCACCUCCACAUUACUUGUUUACAAGUGGUGCCAAGGAUGAAGUCGAAGCGGCACGGAUGGCAGCAAUCAACAAGGAAAUUAAACGUGUGUUGACAGAAGUUCUUCUGAAGGUUACGGAUGAUCAUUUUAAUGAGAUCGCAACCAAAGUUAUGAAGAUGAUUCAUCAGCUGAACGUGACAAAUGAGACCACUGGUGUCUCUAGCUCAAAGGAGCUUGGUCUGGGAGAAUCAGAAGUCAAGACCACAGCUAAAGGUGUAGUCCCUGCUAAGCCAAACAAUGUUAGCUCUACUGGUCGUUCUGAUGGUACUGGGCUAAGUUCUCCUAAAGGUGCUCUUCUUGGUCUUGCUAGUUAUGAUUCAGAUGACGAGGAUGAUGAGGGUGAUGGGUAA